rnacentral:rRNA from 1 species
GGCGAACGCUGGCGGCGUGCUUAACACAUGCAAGUCGAACGCUGAAGCUCAGCUUUUGUUGGGUGGAUGAGUGGCGAACGGGUGAGUAACACGUGAGUAACCUGCCUCCUUCUUUGGGAUAACGCCCGGAAACGGGUGCUAAUACUGGAUAUUCACUGGUCUUCGCAUGGGGGUUGGUGGAAAGGGUUUUUCUGGUGGGGGAUGGGCUCGCGGCCUAUCAGCUUGUUGGUGGGGUGAUGGCCUACCAAGGCUUUGACGGGUAGCCGGCCUGAGAGGGUGACCGGUCACAUUGGGACUGAGAUACGGCCCAGACUCCUACGGGAGGCAGCAGUGGGGAAUAUUGCACAAUGGGCGCAAGCCUGAUGCAGCGACGCCGCGUGAGGGAUGGAGGCCUUCGGGUUGUGAACCUCUUUCGCUCAUGGUCAAGCCGCAACAAUGGUUGUGGUGAGGGUAGUGGGUAAAGAAGCGCCGGCUAACUACGUG